CGCUGGCGGCACGCCUUAUACAUGCAAGUCGAACGCAGUAGCAAUACUGAGUGGCAAACGGGUGAGUAUAAUGUGGGUAUCUGCCUUUUGGUUCGGAAUAACAUGAGGAAACUUGUGCUAAUACCGGAUAAGCCUUCACAGGGAAAGUUUUAUACGCCGAAAGAUGAGCCCGCACUUGAUUAGUUUGUUGGUGAGGUAAUGGCUCACCAAGACAAUUAUCAAUAGCUGGUCUGAGAGGACGAUCAGCCACAUUGGGACUGAGACACGGCCCAGACUCCUACGGGAGGCAGCAGUAAGGAAUCUUGCACAAUGGGGGAAACCCUGAUGCAGCGAUGCCGCGUGAGUGAAGAAGGCCCUUGGGUUGUAAAACUCUUUCGUCGGGGAAGAAAAUGACUGUACCCGAAUAAGAAGGUCCGGCUAACUUCGUGCCAGCAGCCGCGGUAAUACGAAGGGACCUAGCGUAGUUCGGAAUUACUGGGCUUAAAGAGCUCGUAGGUGGUUAAAAAAGUUGAUGGUGAAAUCCCAAGGCUCAACCUUGGAACUGCCAUCAAAACUUUUUAGCUAGAGUGUGAUAGAGGAAAGUGGAAUUUCUAGUGUAGAGGUGAAAUUCGUAGAUAUUAGAAAGAACACCAAAUGCGAAGGCAACUUUCUGGGUCACUACUGACACUGAGGAGCGAAAGCAUGGGUAGCGAAGAGGAUUAGAUACCCUCGUAGUCCAUGCCGUAAACGAUGUGUGCUAGACGUUGGAAAUAUAUUUUUCAGUGUCGCAGCGAAAGCAUUAAGCACACCGCCUGGG
rnacentral:rRNA from 1 species